GCCCUGGUGGCAUAGUGGUUAAAGCGCUUGGCUGCUGACCAAAAGGUCAGUGGUUCGAUCCCACCAGAACC
rnacentral:tRNA from 1 species